rnacentral:rRNA from 1 species
UACGUAGGGCGCAAGCGUUGUCCGGAAUUAUUGGGCGUAAAGGGCGCGUAGGCGGUCUUGUAAGUCAGCUGUGAAAGCCCGGGGCUCAACCCCGGAGGGUCGGCUGAUACUGCAGGACUGGAGUACGGAAGAGGUAGCUGGAAUUCCCGGUGUAGCGGUGAAAUGCGUAGAUAUUGGGAGGAACACCAGUGGCGAAGGCGGCUCACUGGACCGGAACUGACGCUGAGGCGCGAAAGCGUGGGGAGCAAACAGG